rnacentral:lncRNA from 1 species
GUCUUAUAAAAUAUAUAGAUUUAUGAUAAUUAAGACUGAACUAGCAGAUGAGAAAUCCUAGUCAUCGGCCAAGCAGCAUUUGUACAUAAUAUAAGUCUCUGUAUAAUUUUGUCCAUCCACGUGCGGGCAGAACUCAGGUGGCUGGCAGAGACCGCCCAUGUGGUAGGGCUUGUGCAGCUUUUGGUGGAAAGAUUUAUCAUAACAAGGACUAUUACACAGAGAACCCUGUCUUGAAAAAACACAGAGAGAGAGAGAGAGAGAGAGAGAGAGAGAGAGAGAGAGAGAGAAAGAGAGAGAGAGAGAGAGAGAGAGAGAGAGAGAAGCCCAGAGUAAAAGGUAGAUGGGAUAAUUUAAGAAAAACUGGCUAGAAACAAGUCAAGCUAAGGCUGGGCAUUCAUAAUAAAAAAUAAACCUCCAUGUUAUUUAUUUGAGAGCUGGAUGUCAGGCCACAAAAGAGCAAAAAGUAAAGAGCAAAAAGUAAAAACAACCCAUUACACAGGAGCAUACAUCUACACAUAUACCUACAUACAUCUAUACGCACACUCACAAAUGUACAUACACAUGAAAACACACAGAGAAAAAGUAAAAGGCUUUGUGUGGAUUGAGCCAAACCAUAGUAAAUACUGUCAUUAAAGCAAAAUUAGUCCAGGUUUUCAAUUCCAGAGAUGCCAGAUAGCUGAGGUCAUGGCUGUCUUGUUAUUGAGUGUGAACUAAUCAGAGCAAAGGUUAUGCAGUGCUCCUAUUCCCAGACACUGAGUCACCAGUGACCCAGCAUGUAUCAUUUUGCUCUAUUUGUGUCUUGGAACCUAAUGUAGAAUGCACCCUCACACAAUCCCUCAGGGAAAUCACAGGAGCGCUGUUAAUUAAUGUUUGGAAAAUAGCCUAAUUUGUAUAUGUCUAGCCUUCUGAAACAUGACAUCAAUGCGUUUGAGAUGUAGAGUUAAUUAAUUAAAUUAGUCAACUACAACUCCAGGCAUACUUAAUAUUUGUUAAGCUACAUUCUGAUGCAGGAGUUUGCUUUUUGAGACAGGGUUUCUCUUUGUAACCUUGGCUGUUCUGGAACUUGUUUUGUAGACCAAGCUGGUCUCGAGUUCACCAAGUGCUGGGAUUAAAGUUGAGAUGUGAUCUGUCAGAUUGACUGGCCACCUGUUGCCGUAGCUUCCUCACCGUUAUGGGCAUCUAGCCCUCUGGAACUGCUGGCCAAAACUAACUCUUCUAGAAUGUCCAACAAAGAAAAGGGACCAAAAAGCUGAGUUCCGCAUUUUUGGCAGCUGCUACAGCUCCUUGCCUGAAGUUGCCAGUCACCCAAGAUCCCACCUAAAGCUGUCAGCUUUUGACUAUAUUUGGGCACAUACCCAUCUUGUGGAGGACUCAUCAUCAACCCUUUACUACAGGGUCUAUAACUUCCAUGCUUUAAUUCAGGUUCAUGGCUUCUCCUGCCUCUUCUCCUUCCUCCAUCUCUGGAGUUGGAGAACUCACCAUGGAGUUGCUUUGCUCAAAUAAACCUGUUCUUUUACUUUUUCAGCUCAGCUUGAUCUGCUUACUGCAUAGGCAGAAAAACCUAUUAUUAUUAUUAUUAUUAUUAUUAUUAUUAUUAUUAUUAUUGGUUUUUUGAGACAGGGUUUCUCUGUAUAGCUUUGGAGCCUAUCCUGGC